UGUGUGUUGUUGUUGACAGUUGAGAGCAGGCGAAGAUGAGCGGUGGUGGUGGUCUGGUGGAAGUCCAGAACUCUGGCAGAGAUGAGUAAGGGAGACGGUGGGAGUCCAGAGAUCGGCGGCGGUGGUGGUCUGGUGGUUGGAAGUUCAGAUCUCGGCGAUGGUGGUGGCUGGAAGUCCAGAACUCGGCGGCGACGAUGGCUGGAAGUUCAGAUCUCGGCGGCGGUGGUGGUGUUCGAAAUAGAGAGAGAGAAUUCUGCAUUUUUUUUUCUUUUUUUUUAAUGUUGUUGGAAAUCAAAACGACGUCGUUUUGAUUUUUAAAAACGACGUCGUUUCCUUACGCUGCCGACUAUGCCACGCUGUAACUACGAUCAUCCAUGUCAGCUUCAAAUUUUGGGGAUUUUUUAAUUUUGGGAACAUUAAGAACGGAUUCUCAAUUCGUG
rnacentral:lncRNA from 1 species